UCAGUUAGAAAACGUCACAUACAAAGCAGAAUUCGCAGAAACUACGAUUAUCUUAUCAAAAAGCUAUUAAAGCAAUUUAGAUAAGAAUCGAUUUUUCAUGCAGAAUUUGACGUAACUCAGCGAAUUUGUGUUAAAUAACGUAUUUCUGAUCAUUUUCGAACCUGAAAUGGCCAUAGUAACAUCUUUCGUAUCGAAAAGCUACAAUUUUUAUCAAAAUCGAUUUUUCAUGGCAGAAUUUAAUAUAAUUCAGCGACUUUAUGUUAACGUAUAAUGUAUUCGCUAUAACAACGUUUCUGGUAUCGAAAAGCUACAAUUUUUAUUAAAAUCAAAAUUUCGUGCAGAAUUCAACAAUUCAACGUAACGUUUUCGAAUAUCAGCUUGAAAACAUCACUCUCGACGAUUACAAAGCGGAAUUCGCCGAAAAUAUGAUUUUCAUAUCACGAAGCUACAAUUUUGAUCAGAAUCGAUUUUUCAUGGCAGAAAAAUGUGACAUAAUUCAGGAAGUUUGUGUGAGAUAACGUGUUUCCAAUCGUUUUCGUAGCCGAAUUCGCUUUAACAGCGACUCUGGUGUCGAGAAACUACAAUUUUGAUGAUAAUAAAAUGUUUAUGGCGGAAUUCAACUUGACUUGAGUUUCAGUUAGAAAACUUUCACUUUCAAUAAUUUCUAUGUUCGUAAUAUAUAUAUACAGGAAUUGUCUUGUUCAAAAAUUAAAAUUGAUGAAUGGCGAAUUGUCAGAGUAGAAUCUUCGGCAGCUGCAGCGUUGGUUCGUCAUGAGAAUUAUAUUGUAUGCAAAGUUAUAUUGUAUGAUUUUCCAAAUUGCAGCGAUAUUGACCAGACUGUUACUUUCGCAUCUCUUAGAAAAAUAUUAUGCCAAAGUGUAUUUGGUGCAACAGCGAUCUAACGGCGAAGGCCAAGGCGAAACAUUAAGACCAAUGCAAUAGCAAAAGCAAUAUUUGAGUAGUGAAGUCGGUAACUGUUCCUCUCAGCGCAUCGGAACUACUCAUCCUGAAUGAAUGUGUCGACAUUGUCCAUGUGAGACCAUUUUCCAUAUAAUAAAUGUGCUAACUGGUCACAGUUACUUCGUUUCUUACUUGUGUCGCAUCGAAAGAGAAGCCACGGAGCGCAGCUUCUUCUCUCCCUCAAUAUGACUUGGCAUAUUUCCCGGUGUAAAGCUUUUACGGAAGACUGCCAUGUUCUAAUCGGGCAGAUAAAAACGGAUCUUUCUUCGUUAAUUGUAUUAAGGUUUUGGCCGAUAAAAUUCCAGUAUAUCCCGAUAGUCUCUCUUCUAGGUAGAGCUGAAGUGUCCAAUUUCUCCCGUGAUAAAAAAAAGCAUCAGCCGAGCUAUGAAAUAUUGAAAUAUGUCAAAAAUAUACACGUGUUGACAAACUCUUAAAAAUGACGUAAUAUUUUAGAUAACAUCACUUUUAUUUAGAUUUAAUAGAUACCUGCAAAUGAAAAUAAUAAAAAAGGAUUUUUCUAA